rnacentral:rRNA from 1 species
AUUGAACGCUGGCGGCAGGCCUAACACAUGCAAGUCGAACGGUAACAGGAAGCAGCUUGCUGCUUCGCUGACGAGUGGCGGACGGGUGAGUAAUGUCUGGGAAGCUGCCUGAUGGAGGGGGAUAACUACUGGAAACGGUAGCUAAUACCGCAUAAUGUCGCAAGACCAAAGAGGGGGACCUUCGGGCCUCUUGCCAUCGGAUGUGCCCAGAUGGGAUUAGCUUGUUGGUGGGGUAACGGCUCACCAAGGCGACGAUCCCUAGCUGGUCUGAGAGGAUGACCAGCCACACUGGAACUGAGACACGGUCCAGACUCCUAAGGGAGGCAGCAGUGGGGAAUAUUGCACAAUGGGCGCAAGCCUGAUGCAGCCAUGCCGCGUGUAUGAAGAAGGCCUUCGGGUUGUAAAGUACUUUCAGCGGGGAGGAAGGGAGUAAAGUUAAUACCUUUGCUCAUUGACGUUACCCGCAGAAGAAGCACCGGCUAACUCCGUG